GGGCGAAUGGUUUAGUGGUAUAAUACUCCCUUAGCAUGUCUCGAAGACUUGGGAGUGGUCCAGGGUUCGAUUCCCUGUUCGUCCA